AGUGAACGCUGGCGGCAGGCCUAACACAUGCAAGUCGAGCGGCAGCGGGUCCUUCGGGCUGCCGGCGAGCGGCGGACGGGUGAGGAAUACAUCGGAAUCUGCCCUGUCGUGGGGGAUAACCUAGGGAAACUUAGGCUAAUACCGCAUACGACCUACGGGUGAAAGCGGGGGAUCGCAAGACCUCGCGCGACAGGAUGAGCCGAUGUCCGAUUAGCUAGUUGGCGGGGUAAAGGCCCACCAAGGCGACGAUCGGUAGCUGGUCUGAGAGGAUGAUCAGCCACACUGGGACUGAGACACGGCCCAGACUCCUACGGGAGGCAGCAGUGGGGAAUAUUGGACAAUGGGCGCAAGCCUGAUCCAGCCAUGCCGCGUGGGUGAAGAACGCCUUCGGGUUGUAAAGCCCUUUUGUCCGGGAAGAAAUCGUCUGGGCUAAUACCCCGGGCGGAUGACGGUACCGGAAGAAUAAGCACCGGCUAACUUCGUG
rnacentral:rRNA from 1 species